rnacentral:tRNA from 1 species
GGAUUGUGGCUUAGCGGUAGAGUGCUCACCUAGCAUGUGCAAGGCUCUGGGUUCAAUCCUCAGCACCA